UAGAGAUUUCAGUUGAUGGCUGGGGCAGUUUCUGCUCUGUUUCUCUUAGAUAUAAAGGGGCGCGUUCUGGUGUGGCGCGACUACCGUGGAGAUGUCUCCGCCGUUCAAGCCGAACGCUUCUUCACCAAGCUCAUCGAAAAAGAGGGAGAUCCGCACUCUCAAGAUCCGGUUGUGUACGACAAUGGAGUCUCUUACAUGUUUAUACAGCACAGUAACGUUUACUUAAUGACUGCGUCGAGGCAGAACUGCAAUGCUGCUGGUCUCCUCUCCUUCCUCCACCGC
rnacentral:misc_RNA from 1 species